rnacentral:sRNA from 1 species
UUUGAUAGUAAAGCUGAGCAUGGAAGAAGAGGUAGGAUUCUGACUGGUCAUAACAUAUAUCAACUGAUAAUAAGUUUUUAGUCAAUUAUCCUAAAACACCAAUCAUGUCGUUGUAGUAUUUUAGGUUGUCAAUCCAAAUGGGUGUGAUGCUAACAAUCAAGAUGUGAUCAGAAGUCACUAAGUCAAGCCAAGCAAUAACAGGUUUUGGUGCGUUCUAACAGUCCUAAGUGAACAUGCAGAAAACAGAAAAAAGCAGAAACAAAUAAACACUCGACCAACACAGCUCUUUGCAGAGCACUGGGUGUGGUCGAGUGACAGGUCGAGUAACAGACAGAUAAUGUAACAGGGAUACUCGACUGCACAGUCUGUUGCCAGACAACUGGGUGGUCGAGUAUGAGGUCGAGUAACAGUAAAGAAUUGUAGAAACUAAGCAACAGAUGACAAGAUGCAGUACACAGCAAUAGAGUAAACAAUAAAAUCAAUCAGAUAAAGAAUUCCUAAGGAUGGGGUAAUUGAGUAGUUUCGUUUCCUCAGUUUACAGGUGAUUGACAUGCUCAAUAAAUUAACCCUAGACAACAAGUUCAUCAACCAAAUCUAAGUGCCACCGCAACAGAGACUCUCAAGCUAACCUAGUCCCAGACUCAAUCACCAUUGACGAGAGCUAACUUAACAGGCAUUACGAAUCAACAAUAGGCAUUCCAA